CAAAAGGCUUUAAAGAAAGCCACAAAAGAUCUAAAAAAAAAGGUAU
rfam:Astyanax mexicanus Tnplaced_Scaffold3656, whole genome shotgun sequence.